GAUGAACGCUGGCGGCGUGCCUAAUACAUGCAAGUCGAGCGAAUGGAUUAAGAGCUUGCUCUUAUGAAGUUAGCGGCGGACGGGUGAGUAACACGUGGGUAACCUGCCCAUAAGACUGGGAUAACUCCGGGAAACCGGGGCUAAUACCGGAUAACAUUUUGAACCGCAUGGUUCGAAAUUGAAAGGCGGCUUCGGCUGUCACUUAUGGAUGGACCCGCGUCGCAGUAGCUAGUUGGUGAGGUAACGGCUCACCAAGGCAACGAUGCGUAGACGAACGGAGAGGGUGAUCGGCCACACUGGGACUGAGACACGGCCCAGACUCCUACGGGAGGUAGCAGUAGGGAAUCUUCCGCAAUGGACGAAAGUCUGACGGAGCAACGCCGCGUGAGUGAUGAAGGCUUUCGGGUCGUAAAACUCUGUUGUUAGGGAAGAACAAGUGCUAGUUGAAUAAGCUGGCACCUUGACGGUACCUAACCAGAAAGCCACGGCUAACUACGUGCCAGCCGCCGCAGUAA
rnacentral:rRNA from 1 species